CAGGUCAGCAUACUGCCGUGAAUACGUUCCCGGGCCUUGUACACACCGCCCGUCACACCAUGAGAGUUGGGAAUACCCGAAGCCUGUGAGCUAACAUUUAUGAGGCAGCAGUCGAAGGUAGAAUCAAUGAUUGGGGUGAAGUCGUAACAAGGUAUC
rnacentral:rRNA from 1 species